UGAGGAAUAUUGGGCAAUGCCCGCAAGGGUGACCCAGCAACGCCGCGUGGAGGAUGAAUGUCGUAAGAUUGUAAACUCCUGUUAGAGGGGAAAAAUAGUACCGGUUGGACCGGUAUAUGACUGUACCCUCAGAGAAAGCCCCGGCUAACUACGUGCCAGCAGCCGCGGUAAUACGUAGGGGGCAAGCGUUGUCCGGAUUUACUGGGUGUAAAGGGCGCGCAGGCGGGAUAAAAAGUCAGUGGUGAAAUCCUACAGCUUAACUGUAGAACUGCCUUUGAUACUUGUAUUCUUGAGUUCGGGAGAGAGAGACGGAAUUCCAGGUGUAGUGGUGAAAUACGUAGAUAUCUGGAAGAACACCAGUUGCGAAGGCGGUCUCUUGAUCCGACACUGACGCUGAGGCGCGAAAGCGUGGGGAGCAAACA
rnacentral:rRNA from 1 species